CCAGCAGUAGUACUUGAGCUGUGUCCAAGUGAAGUCGAUCGGUUUAGUGUAUAACAAGUUCCUAAUGCCCAAGCAAUGAUUAAAUUUCAUUACAUAUUGUUGCUGUUUAUGGUUUCAAUUUCGAAAGAAAUUCAUGCACACAUCGGUGGAGAGAUGAGAUCGUUUACAAUCGAUUACGACCACGAUACAUUCUUGAUGAAUGGCAAACCAUUUCGUUUCAUAUCAGGAUCAUUUCACUACUUUCGUGCUCUUCCUGGCUCCUGGCGACACAUAUUGCGCUCAAUGCGAGCAGCUGGACUAAACGCAGUAAUGACGUAAUGUGUAAAAUUGAUGAUUUUUGCAAGUAGUAGUAGCAUAGUAGCACAUGAGUCAAAAUUUAUCAAACGUGCCUCCCAAAUUAGGUGAAUGUGCAAUUUCGAUUGAAUAACCAUUUUGCCGGUAGUAUUUGGUAUUGUAAAAUCAAAAAUUGACGAUAAUAUUGACAUUUGAAGUUUUUAUCCCGACACAA